AUUAACCCGACAGUGAGUGAUUGUGAACCAAUACUCACACCCGGGGGAGUAUCCUGAAGCUGGCGUUGUGCAUGCCCACUUAAUGUGGGAAGCCUGAACCAGCCCAUUCACUCCCCACUUGAACUCCAGGGUUCAACAUCAGACUGUCGGGUACUCU
rnacentral:other from 1 species